AGCCGAUAUACUCAAUUUUACUCAAGCAAUUAUUAGUCGUAAGUUGUUGAAUCUGUUUCUAGAUGUCGCAACAAUUGGUAGACGACUUACAAUUACCACAGGAUUUAAUCAGAAUUCUAAUGAACGGUGCGAAAUACAUGAAUAAAACAAAUAAAUUAAAUAGCUUUUUUAUCCAUAGAUUGUAAUCUCGGGCUUUACGAGUUGCUUACAUUCGACGUCGAAGAUUUACACAACGUCGAAGAUUUGGAAAAAGUUGGAGCUACGAUAACCUGUAUGAAAAAAUCAAUGUGUGGCGAAAACGAAACAAAAUUGCAAUACAACAAAUUUUGACUGGAGACACCAUGAAUGGAAGUCCGAUUUCAAGUACUAAACGGGAGGAGUUAGAAUGUUGCGAAAUACCAGUGUCAGGUAUAAAAAAGACCGUAAUAUCUCCGAAGCUCCAAUUGUGAAAUAUUUAAAUUUGGAAGAGGAUCGAGCAGACACUGAUUUGGCCUGCUGCACACCAUUAUUUGAAGAUCAAUCCACAGUAUCACCAAAAAACAAUCAGCAAGAAGAGAACCAAGUUUGCAUUACGGGAACAUCAGAAACACAGCAAAAACUUCUUUACCAGCCAUUCAACCCCAUUAUUUUAAAAAAUUUGCUAGAAGCAAGUGAGAUUGGAAAGGAAAUUUUGCAGCGAGCAAGUUUAGGCGAAUUGUCAGAGGCAAAGCAACUGCAGCUCUCAGGAAUAAUCACAUAGGUCUCAGAAAUAAACUGACCACUGAGGAUUUGAAUAAAUACAGCCUUACAGUAACAACACUUUUUGUGAAAGAAAAACAGGAAAAAUAUUAUAUACCGAGAGGAGGAUCGUAGGACCCCGGGUGGGAAAAUUGCGAAUAAGGUAGGAAACUUACGACAAAGUAAGAGAAAAAGCUACAUAAAAGAAGAACAACACGUGAAAAAGAUUCAGUAUAAUCCUGAAAGCCUCACAGAAACAUGCAGUGAUCACGCAUUGAAGUGGUUAGCAUAAAACCAGUCACCAUGGACAACGGUUUUAGAAUUCUGGUCAGAACGCUUCCACAUCCGACAUUUUUUGAAAAAUGCGAAACAUCUGCUAGGUUGUUGAAAGAAUAUCCAAUGCACAUUACCGUAACACGUUUGGAUAUCAAUUGAUUGAUCUGGACUUUGUUGCACUUUUUCCCAAUGCUUUGAGACAUCCUGAAAACAAUAAGUGGCAAACUGAAACCGUUUUUCAGUAUAAAAUCUUUGGAUCCUUCUGCGACUGACUUGAUCGAGCUUCUUGAUAACUGUGACGAAGAUAAAAAAGGUGUUUUGCUUUUACUGCUAAAUACUGUGCUGCCAUCAAUAUCCGCAGGCGUUAGAUUUAAACCAUCUAUCUGCGUUGCUCAGGACGACUCGAUCAGUUUCGUCAAAGACGAGACCGAAAUUUCAAAAAAGGUAGCCAGCGUGUACGCGAGUUAUAACGAAAGAAAUAAGUGGGCGGUAUUUCGUGCAGCACGAGGACAUACGGUACGAUCUUGAUUCGGCAGUUAGAGCAAUCGAUUUGCUAAUAAAAUUCACUGCUGUCUUUGCCCUACCGUAUUCCAGAAUCUCUAAAUUGAUUUGGCAUUUUCUUAACCAUAUCAUAUACGGGAUACCACAACGCGAAACAUACGCCGCUGUUAAUAAACUUCGUAACUAUUUGGAUGAAUUCAAAAUACCAGCAACAUGAUUGUCUGCAUGCUAAUCAACUGCGACAGUGUAUUUACCGUUGCCAACAAAUAUUUCACGCACCUGAAAGAGCAACAUGGAAUACCUACAAAUUAUCGUUACCGCUGGACGAUAAGUUCUUGCGGACAAAUGUUUUCGAAGUUGUACCCAUUUAAGAAGCACAUAACUAAUCACUUAAAUCUUGUAAGUCUCAGUAAUAUGUCAGUCGAAAUACCUCAGCAUAUUGAAUCUCAGCAUAACUUCAUUAGUGUGAAACACGCUAUCAAUAUCUCCCAGCUGGUCUCGAGGUACGAUGCUGGCCUAACAAGCCAGUCGUCGUAUGUUCGAAUCCCGGCUCGGGAGAGACUGUAAGUGUCAGUAGGAUCGUAGCGCUAGCUCCGCAAUUGUCCUGUACAUUUAAAAGUCGGCUGCGAAGUCUGCGUAUAGUAAAACAGAUAAUAUAGUAUAACUUCAUCAGUAGAGAACAAGUGAGCCCAGUAAAAGUAGAACCCAGUGGGAGUAAAAAACUUAGAACUGAUUAGGACCGAAAGCUCGUCUUUCAUUAGUUCUGAUUUAAUAGACAAAUCAGCUCUUAGCUUCACGU